AGCGUACACGGUGGAUGCCCUGGCAGUCAGAGGCGAUGAAGGACGUGCUAAUCUGCGAUAAGCGUCGGUAAGGUGAUAUGAACCGUUAUAACCGGCGAUUUCCGAAUGGGGAAACCCAGUGUGUUUCGACACACUAUCAUUAACUGAAUCCAUAGGUUAAUGAGGCGAACCGGGGGAACUGAAACAUCUAAGUACCCCGAGGAAAAGAAAUCAACCGAGAUUCCCCCAGUAGCGGCGAGCGAACGGGGAGCAGCCCAGAGCCUGAAUCAGUGUGUGUGUUAGUGGAAGCGUCUGGAAAGGCGCGCGAUACAGGGUGACAGCCCCGUACACAAAAAUGCACAUACUGUGAGCUCGAUGAGUAGGGCGGGACACGUGGUAUCCUGUCUGAAUAUGGGGGGACCAUCCUCCAAGGCUAAAUACUCCUGACUGACCGAUAGUGAACCAGUACCGUGAGGGAAAGGCGAAAAGAACCCCGGCGAGGGGAGUGAAAAAGAACCUGAAACCGUGUACGUACAAGCAGUGGGAGCACGCUUCGGCGUGUGACUGCGUACCUUUUGUAUAAUGGGUCAGCGACUUAUAUUCUGUAGCAAGGUUAACCGAAUAGGGGAGCCGAAGGGAAACCGAGUCUUAACUGGGCGUUAAGUUGCAGGGUAUAGACCCGAAACCCGGUGAUCUAGCCAUGGGCAGGUUGAAGGUUGGGUAACACUAACUGGAGGACCGAACCGACUAAUGUUGAAAAAUUAGCGGAUGACUUGUGGCUGGGGGUGAAAGGCCAAUCAAACCGGGAGAUAGCUGGUUCUCCCCGAAAGCUAUUUAGGUAGCGCCUCGUGAAUUCAUCUCCGGGGGUAGAGCACUGUUUCGGCAAGGGGGUCAUCCCGACUUACCAACCCGAUGCAAACUGCGAAUACCGGAGAAUGUUAUCACGGGAGACACACGGCGGGUGCUAACGUCCGUCGUGAAGAGGGAAACAACCCAGACCGCCAGCUAAGGUCCCAAAGUCAUGGUUAAGUGGGAAACGAUGUGGGAAGGCCCAGACAGCCAGGAUGUUGGCUUAGAAGCAGCCAUCAUUUAAAGAAAGCGUAAUAGCUCACUGGUCGAGUCGGCCUGCGCGGAAGAUGUAACGGGGCUAAACCAUGCACCGAAGCUGCGGCAGCGACACUGUGUGUUGUUGGGUAGGGGAGCGUUCUGUAAGCCUGUGAAGGUGGCCUGUGAGGGUUGCUGGAGGUAUCAGAAGUGCGAAUGCUGACAUAAGUAACGAUAAAGCGGGUGAAAAGCCCGCUCGCCGGAAGACCAAGGGUUCCUGUCCAACGUUAAUCGGGGCAGGGUGAGUCGACCCCUAAGGCGAGGCCGAAAGGCGUAGUCGAUGGGAAACAGGUUAAUAUUCCUGUACUUGGUGUUACUGCGAAGGGGGGACGGAGAAGGCUAUGUUGGCCGGGCGACGGUUGUCCCGGUUUAAGCGUGUAGGCUGGUUUUCCAGGCAAAUCCGGAAAAUCAAGGCUGAGGCGUGAUGACGAGGCACUACGGUGCUGAAGCAACAAAUGCCCUGCUUCCAGGAAAAGCCUCUAAGCAUCAGGUAACAUCAAAUCGUACCCCAAACCGACACAGGUGGUCAGGUAGAGAAUACCAAGGCGCUUGAGAGAACUCGGGUGAAGGAACUAGGCAAAAUGGUGCCGUAACUUCGGGAGAAGGCACGCUGAUACGUAGGUGAAGUCCCUUGCGGAUGGAGCUGAAAUCAGUCGAAGAUACCAGCUGGCUGCAACUGUUUAUUAAAAACACAGCACUGUGCAAACACGAAAGUGGACGUAUACGGUGUGACGCCUGCCCGGUGCCGGAAGGUUAAUUGAUGGGGUUAGCGGUAACGCGAAGCUCUUGAUCGAAGCCCCGGUAAACGGCGGCCGUAACUAUAACGGUCCUAAGGUAGCGAAAUUCCUUGUCGGGUAAGUUCCGACCUGCACGAAUGGCGUAAUGAUGGCCAGGCUGUCUCCACCCGAGACUCAGUGAAAUUGAACUCGCUGUGAAGAUGCAGUGUACCCGCGGCAAGACGGAAAGACCCCGUGAACCUUUACUAUAGCUUGACACUGAACAUUGAGCCUUGAUGUGUAGGAUAGGUGGGAGGCUUUGAAGUGUGGACGCCAGUCUGCAUGGAGCCGACCUUGAAAUACCACCCUUUAAUGUUUGAUGUUCUAACGUUGGCCCCUGAUCGGGGUUGCGGACAGUGUCUGGUGGGUAGUUUGACUGGGGCGGUCUCCUCCUAAAGAGUAACGGAGGAGCACGAAGGUUGGCUAAUCCUGGUCGGACAUCAGGAGGUUAGUGCAAUGGCAUAAGCCAGCUUGACUGCGAGCGUGACGGCGCGAGCAGGUGCGAAAGCAGGUCAUAGUGAUCCGGUGGUUCUGAAUGGAAGGGCCAUCGCUCAACGGAUAAAAGGUACUCCGGGGAUAACAGGCUGAUACCGCCCAAGAGUUCAUAUCGACGGCGGUGUUUGGCACCUCGAUGUCGGCUCAUCACAUCCUGGGGCUGAAGUAGGUCCCAAGGGUAUGGCUGUUCGCCAUUUAAAGUGGUACGCGAGCUGGGUUUAGAACGUCGUGAGACAGUUCGGUCCCUAUCUGCCGUGGGCGCUGGAGAACUGAGGGGGGCUGCUCCUAGUACGAGAGGACCGGAGUGGACGCAUCACUGGUGUUCGGGUUGUCAUGCCAAUGGCACUGCCCGGUAGCUAAAUGCGGAAGAGAUAAGUGCUGAAAGCAUCUAAGCACGAAACUUGCCCCGAGAUGAGUUCUCCCUGACUCCUUGA
rnacentral:rRNA from 1 species